UGUGGGUGGAGGUGGAGGAGAACCGAUGGAGGGUGCCAGUUUGGUUCGUUUCCCUUCCAGUUUUGUUCGCUCGAGCUGGACAAUUCCCAGCCCACGGGGGAUUGUCGUCAAGAGGCAUGGAGCUAAGCUCUGCAUUUCGUGCCGGUCAGAGUCACCUGAGACGAUGGUUGUCUCCAUAACAGGUGCCACGGGAUUUAUUGGAAGAAGAUUGGUACACAGGCUAGCUUCGGAUGGACACAAAGUCCGAGUUCUUACGCGUUCCAUUUCGAAGGCAGCUGAUCUUUUCCCGGCAAGGGACUAUCCGACCGUUGAGAUAUCCUUAGAGCGUGAUCUGGAGAAAUGCAUUCCAGGAUCGACUGGAGUUGUCAAUCUUACUGGGACACCUAUCAGCACUCGCUGGACAUCGGAGGUGAAAGACGAGAUCAAACGAAGCAGGAUAAGUCUCACCACAAAGCUUGUUGAAACCAUCAACACUACUCCAAAAGAACUACGUCCCAAGGUUUUAGUGAGUGCUUCCGCCGUGGGAUUCUACGGAGCGAGCGAGACAUCUACGUAUGACGAAACGAGUCCUUCGGGAAAUGAUUAUCUCGCCGAAGUUUGCCGGGAAUGGGAAGCUGCCGCAAGCAAUGUUGAUGGCAGUGUAAAGCUUGUCCUCCUUCGCAUUGGCAUUGUACUCGACAAGGAGGGUGGCGCUCUAGCAAGCAUGGUCCCAUUAUUCAAAGUUUUUGCUGGCGGUCCUAUAGGUUCUGGAAAACAAUGGUUCUCGUGGGUGCAUCGCGAGGAUUUGGUGUCACUGAUAACUGAAGCGCUAACGAAUCCAACCUACAAAGGUGUAAUCAAUGGGACAGCCCCGAAUCCAGUCCGAAUGGCCGAGAUUUGUGACACUCUGGGAAGAGUCUUGGGACGUCCGUCAUGGCUCCCUGUUCCUGAGAUUGCUCUCAAAGCAGUACUUGGAGAGGGUGCGAGUGCGGUUCUCGACGGUCAAAGAGUGGUACCAAAGAGAGCUCAAGAGCUCGGUUUCAAGUUUAAGUACCGCUACAUUGGGGACGCUCUGAAGGCAAUCUUUGCUUCCUAGAAAGGCAAAGGACGGACUCUUAUUCCUCGUCGUUCUUUCCUCGUCGUUCUUUCUUCGUCGUCACUGCUGUGGAGCUUGCUACCGCUGCUGCUUUCACCAUAGCUUUUCCACCACCAAACGAAACAGUCACAGCUGGCCCGUGGACGUACGUUUGGCAGCUAGUACACAGGGAGGAGCAGUCCACACAAGGCUAGUUCCCUGCCCAAAGACAUGUACCUGACAACGCUGGUGGACAAGACACUGUUGCAGCCAGCAGGCUUUGAGAUAUGUGAACUUCGUAGUUCCAGGUCCCUCUAUAAGAGCUCGAGCAAGAUUCAAGUCCGAUAUCUCAACUACAGGUGCAGUGUAAAGCUUCGUCCUCGUUCGUUCGAACUGGCAAGGAUUAUCAAAGAAAAAGAUUGCCUGUUAGAGUUUGUGAGGACUGAUCACUGUGAUUUCAGUUACUGGCAUGCAUGCAGCAAGCAAGCAGGUUUCAUUAUUCUAAAGUUUAUAUCCCGGCAGACGGUCCAAUUGCCAGAGGUAACUUGAAAGCUUGUUCGUUUAAACAGUGGAGAGUUUGGCAGGUUCUUUCUUAACAAAGUGGUCUCUUAUUUAUGGUGUCUUAUCCUGAACGUGAAUGGUCACUCCAGCUUGAAUGCUAUGCGCUUGCUUUCAACAACGACAACAACAGCUUCUAGACGCGGUCAAAAGAGCGGCAAAUUUCGCUCCGGGGCUCGACUUCAAAGUUGUUUUAAAGUACGGUCUACACUCCAUUGGCGGAAGGAGCACCCCUAUACUUCGUUCGUCAUCGGCCUGUGAGAGACGAGACGACGACCCCUGUCGUGGCGCUGCUGCCGCCGCUGCUGCUGUUCUCUCGAGCACCAAAACGAAUCAGUCCCCAGCGCUAGCUGGUCCUUGUGACGUAGCACACUUGGAAGUUAGUACUCAGGGAGACCAGUCCGCACAGAUAAGAUAACUUCCUUACUUCCCAUGGCUCUGAUCUGACACUGUGGAGGAACAAGUCCCCAGGAGAAGACUUUGAAACAUGUGAAGUUCCAAGCUCCAAUCCUCCAAAAGUGCUAUAACUCGGAGAGCCAGCAGCUUUAAAAUACAUUUACCGUCAUGUGGAGGAACACUACUACCCAGCUGCGGUGCUGCUGUAACUUUCACGGGAGCGGAGGAAACACUAGUUUUCUCGUGAGUUUGAACGCCCAGCUCCGCAAUUCCAUGUGCUGUCCCUGCUAGAUUCACUUGAAACACGGCUGCGAUUAAGGUAUACGAUGAGAGCUGACUGACUCCAGUUACAUCAAUCACACCUCGGUUUAAACUC